AUUGAACGCUGGCGGCAGGCCUAACACUUGCAAGUCGGACGGUAGCACAGAGAGCUUGCUCUCGGGUGACGAGUGGCGGACGGGUGAGUAAUGUCUGGGGAUCUGCCCGAUAGAGGGGGAUAACCACUGGAAACGGUGGCUAAUACCGCAUAACGUCGCAAGACCAAAGAGGGGGACCUUCGGGCCUCUCACUAUCGGAUGAACCCAGAUGGGAUUAGCUAGUAGGCGGGGUAACGGCCCACCUAGGCGACGAUCCCUAGCUGGUCUGAGAGGAUGACCAGCCACACUGGAACUGAGACACGGUCCAGACUCCUACGGGAGGCAGCAGUGGGGAAUAUUGCACAAUGGGCGCAGGCCUGAUGCAGCCAUGCCGCGUGUAUGAAGAAGGCCUUCGGGUUGUAAAGUACUUUCAGCGGGGAGGAAGGCGAUAAGGUUAAUAACCUUGUCGAUUGACGUUACCCGCAGAAGAAGCACCGGCUAACUCCGUGCCAGCCGCCGCGGUAA
rnacentral:rRNA from 1 species